rnacentral:tRNA from 13 species
CGGGGUGUGGCGCAGCUUGGUAGCGCAUCUGCUUUGGGAGCAGAGGGUCGCUGGUUCGAAUCCAGUCACCCCGACCA